UACGGAGGGUGCAAGCGUGAUCCGGAUUCACUGGGUUUAAAGGGUGCGUAGGCGGGCAGGUAAGUCCGUGGUGAAAUCUCUGAGCUUAACUCAGAAACUGCCAUGGAUACUAUUUGUCUUGAAUAUUGUGGAGGUAAGCGGAAUAUGUCAUGUAGCGGUGAAAUGCUUAGAUAUGACAUAGAACACCAAUUGCGAAGGCAGCUUACUACACAGUUAUUGACGCUGAGGCACGCAAGCGUGGGGAUCAAACAGG
rnacentral:rRNA from 1 species